AGCUGCAGAACCUGAUGAUCAGCCUCUGCCGACCAUGUCUCCUCAUGCACAGAUUACUCAAGCAGUCUUGGACAAGAAUAAUAAGGGCCAUUUUCAAGUGAAAAUAAUGAAGCAAAUAUUGUGGGUUGAUGGGAUUCACUAUGAGCUACGUGAGAUUAAUUUAUGGCUUUGGCAAUUCCCAUGUGUCAGGGAAAGAAUGUGUCAUUUGCAUGACUGAGCCAAAGGACACAGCUGUUUUUGCCUUGUCGACAUAUGGUGAGAUAGAAUACUGAUCUUAAGCAUAUAUAUUCUUAUUAUUACUCUUCUCUAUGGACGUUAAAUUUUUAUUACUUGUACAAUUAGCCUCCAAAAAAGCCAUGUUUGAUCUGAUUUUGAUCAGUAGAUGUGUGCUUGCAUUGGUUGUCUGACAUGAGACACUGGCUUGCUUACUUUUCUGAUGAGUGAAUGAAGAUCAAUAGAUCAUCAAUGUGGACUUAUUAGUGCUGUCCUAGUUUUACAGGUGAAUCUCAAAUGGCCACAUUUAGGAUUUGAAGCCAUAAAGAGCUUAAGAUGACAAUUUAACUGUGUUUUAAAUGUUUAAAUCUAGUUGGGACUGAGUUAUUUGACCUCAGGAUGUUGGGAUGCACUUAAUAUCUGUCAUGUUUAUUGGAAUAUAAUUUAUUUCAUUCUACUAAGUAGAUGUACUAGUUCCAGUUCAAAGUUUAGGUUUUGGUUUCGUUUUUUAUUCGGUUCUGUUUUGAUCAAAUCUAAUGAUUUAAAAUUAUUUUUUUAUCUUUUUUUUUUUAAAGAAAAAGUUCGAUUUUUAUCUGGUUGAAAGUUAAUUUUGAUCAAUUUCGGUUCGAUUUUGAACCGGACUUUCUGGUUCUUCUGAGUCACCAUUUGUAGACUGUCAUUUCACUUAUAUAUCUUUAGAUGCAUAAACUUUUUUUUUAGCAGUGUUAAGUGCCCAAUAUGCCGCCAAACCAUCCAGGAACUUGUGGAGAUCAAGAUUAGCGAAGAUCAUCCUCCUACAUCAGGGGGGUAGAUUCGUUCCCUCACCAAGAAUUCCACAGGGUAACAGGAUGCAGAUUGUUCUCAUAAGAACUUUUGAAGCCAAGAUUCGUAUUCAAUGGCAGCUACAGCCCAUGAGAGGCCAAGUAUAAUUUGACAUGGAAUUCUUGUUUAUACACAGAAGGUUGAUAUAGUUCCUUCUUGGAAUAUUUGUAAUACAAGCAAUGAGGCGAAAGUGCUUUAGAAUGUCUAAAGUACAGGUGAAGACUCAAGGUAUUGUGGCAUAAAGAGGGGGACAAAAGUGAGGUCUUUGGUCUCAAAAUACUGUCUGAAAGUGAAAGGGAUCAGUAACUAUCACUUUUUUUUUUCCCUCAGAAAUUUGAAUCUUUGUUGAUCUUGUUCUUUAGAUUACAGAUCUAACUAUUGGCUUCGAUUUUCAUGCCAGCACUCAGCAGCAGCAGCAGUAUCUUGAUUCUUGAAAAGCAUUGGGAUUGAUUCUGUCACUUCCUCUCUUAUUAAUGGGUCCAUAUCUCAAUUGCAUGGUUGCUUUACAGGGGAAAAAGUAAAAGUCAUGUUUAAAAAUAAGGUUUCUUUCCACUCACAGGAUUGCUUUAAUUAAUAGCUUGGUUUUUGAUGAUUCUAAAUCUUUUGUUUUUCUUGUUUACUUUUUUCCUUUUUUAUUUCCAAUUAAUAGAAGCUUGUUUUUAUCAUAAUUAAAAGCAGACAAACAACUGUAGCAUCUUGAAAAGCAAAUCAAGAAUUGCUUCUAA